UACGGAGGGUGCGAGCGUUGUCCGGAAUCACUGGGCGUAAAGGGCGCGUAGGUGGCGCGGGAAGUCAACGGUGAAAGUUCGGGGCUCAACCCUGAAUCGGCCGUCGAUACUCCCGGGCUCGAGCACUGUAGAGGCAGAUGGAAUUCCCGGUGUAGCGGUGAAAUGCGUAGAGAUCGGGAGGAACACCAGUGGCGAAGGCGGCCUUCUGGACCAGCACUGACACUCAAGCACGAAAGCGUGGGGAGCAAACAGG
rnacentral:rRNA from 1 species